UCCUGUUCCGCCUACACCAGAGGAAGUGCACUGGUCUACAACUGCACGUCAGCCUGCCGCCGUGCCUCCCCCGUCAUAAUGAAGGCUGCCUUCAGGCUGUGAGCCAAAGAGCUUCUAAUGAAAAAGCAAGCCGCACUUUCCAGUGAGGAUUUUCAAAGGAGUCCACAGUAUUGGAAAAAAUAUUAAAAUUGAGAAGAAAAAUCCACGGAAAUAGAUGUACAUGUUCCAAGAGCAAUGAAAGAAGGGAAAUGAGAACACAGAAGGAAACACUCCAUUCUUGGAGGAGAAAAAAAAAAACACAUCACAUUUCUUUACCACUCUGGUCAAAUUGUCAUUGAAUUCUGGCAAAAUUAGCAAAGAAAAGAGCUGGACCUACCCGGCUUCUCACAUGCCAUCUAAAAGAACUUGUAAGAUAGCUGCCAUAACCCAUAUCUAACAGAAGUGAGGUCCCGAAGCUGUAAACAAUCUUGGUGUCUGCUGAGGAUUCAUUCUGCACUUCAGAGAUGGUGCCUUCAGGGGAAUCGGCCCUGUGCAGAACAGCCUCAUGUGGUGGAAGAAUGGGAAGGAGAAGGCUUAGUGCCCCACUGUCUCUUUCUGAGAGCAUCUGAUCCAAGGUCCUGAUUAUUCCCAAAGGAUCACUGAACACUACUGUAAUAUUAAAAAACAACAGCAACAACAACAACCCUCAGCUCUCUCAUUCUUAAAGAGAAUAAGAGACAGUAUAUUCCAGAGCCAUUUUGAGUGACCACAGUCCAGGAACUCAAAAUUCCAUGUUCCAACAUGGAAACAAUUUUGUGGCAUUUUUAUUGUUUUAUAGAGCAAAGAGUGACAUAAAUGAAGGCAAGUUUAA